UACGUAGGGUGCAAGCGUUGUCCGGAAUUAUUGGGCGUAAAGAGCUCGUAGGCGGUCUGUCGCGUCGGAUGUGAAAACCCAGGGCUCAACCCUGGGCCUGCAUUCGAUACGGGCAGACUAGAGUUCGGUAGGGGAGACUGGAAUUCCUGGUGUAGCGGUGAAAUGCGCAGAUAUCAGGAGGAACACCGAUGGCGAAGGCAGGUCUCUGGGCAUUAACUGACGCUGAGGAGCGAAAGCGUGGGUAGCAAACAGG
rnacentral:rRNA from 1 species